UACGAGGGGGGCAAGCGUUGUUCGGAAUUAUUGGGCGUAAAGGGCGCGUAGGCGGUUUGGCAAGUUUGGUGUGAAAUCUUCGGGCUACAACCUCGAAGUCUGCAUCGAAAACUGCCGGGCUUGAGUAUGGGAGAGGUGAGUGGAAUUUCCGGUGUAGCGGUGAAAUGCGUAGAUAUCGGAAGGAACACCUGUGGCGAAAGCGGCUCACUGGACCAUUACUGACGCUGAGGCGGCGAAAGCUAGGGGAGCAAACAGG
rnacentral:rRNA from 1 species